rnacentral:rRNA from 1 species
AGAGUUUGAUCCUGGCUCAGAUUGAACGCUGGCGGAAUGCUUUACACAUGCAAGUCGAACGGCAGCACGGGGCAACCUGGUGGCGAGUGGCGAACGGGUGAGUAAUAUAUCGGAACGUGCCCAAUCGUGGGGAUAACGUAGCGAAAGUUACGCUAAUACCGCAUACGAUCUACGGAUGAAAGCGGGGGAUCGCAAGACCUCGCGCGAAUGGAGCGGCCGAUAUCAGAUUAGGUAGUUGGUGGGGUAAAGGCUCACCAAGCCAACGAUCUGUAGCUGGUCUGAGAGGACGACCAGCCACACUGGAACUGAGACACGGUCCAGGACUCCUACGGGAGGCAGCAGUGGGGAAUUUUGGACAAUGGGCGCAAGCCUGAUCCAGCCAUUCCGCGUGCAGGAUGAAGGCCUUCGGGUUGUAAACUGCUUUUGUACGGAACGAAACGGUCUGCCCUAAUACGGUGGGCUAAUGACGGUACCGUAAGAAUAAGCACCGGCUAACUACGUG